UCACUAGUAAUCGCGGAUCAGCAUGCCGCGGUGAAUGCGUUCUCGGGCCUUGUACACACCGCCCGUCACACCAUGAGAGUCGGGAACACCCGAAGUCCGUAGCCUAACCGCAAGGGGGGCGCGGCCGAAGGUGGGCUCGAUAAUUGGGGUGAAGUCGUAACAAGGUAGC
rnacentral:rRNA from 1 species